CUGUAAUAAAACUAGAAAAUGUAUCUGUUCUUUCAAGAUUAACAGUAUGGCAAGCUUUACAAGAGUUACAACCUCUAAAGGAAUGAUUGUCAACAGGUUUUCGAUUACCCUCGAGAUUUUUUAUGGCAUAACUAGGUGCCAAAGUGUUCUUAAAAUUCUGAUUUUUUUCUAAAGAUAAGUUUAGGCUGAUCUGGUAAAAUAG